UACAGAGGGGGCCAGCGUUAUUCGGAAUUAUUGGGCGUAAAGGGCGCGUAGGCGGCCAUGCGUGUCUUCCGUGAAAUCCCUCGGCCUAACUGAGGACGUGCGGAAGAAACUGCAAGGCUUGAGUCCGGGAGAGGGGGGUGGAAUUCCCAGUGUAGCGGUGAAAUGCGUAGAUAUUGGGAGGAACACCGGUGGCGAAGGCGGCCCCCUGGACCGGUACUGACGCUGAGGCGCGAAAGCGUGGGGAGCGAACAGG
rnacentral:rRNA from 1 species